rnacentral:rRNA from 1 species
GACGAACGCUGGCGGCGUGCUUAACACAUGCAAGUCGAGCGGAGCGGCGAACGGGUGAGUAACGCGUGAGUAACUGCCCCCCUCUCUGGGAUAACAGCUGGAAACGGCUGCUAAUACCGGAUAGUGGGGGAUGACUCGGGUCCUAUCAGCUUGUUGGUGGGGUAGUGGCCUACCAAGGGGACGACGGGUAGCCGGCCUGGGCGGGCGACCGGCGACAAUGGGCUGAGGUACGGCCCAAACGCCUACGGGGGGCAGCAGGGGGGAAUAUUGCACAAUAGGGGAAACCCUGAUGCAUAGACGCCGGGUGCGGGAUGACGGCCUUCGAGUGGUAAACCGCUUUCAGCCAUGACGCGGUAGUGGCAGAAGAAGCACCGGCUAACUACGUGCCAGCAGCCGCGGUAAUUC